rnacentral:rRNA from 1 species
GUCCACGCCGUAAACGAUGGAUACUAGCUGUUGGGCGCAAGUUCAGUGGCUAAGCGAAAGUGAUAAGUAUCCAACCUGGGGAGUACGUUCGCAAGAAUGAAACUCAAAGGAAUUGACGGGGGCCCCGCACAAGCGGUGGAGCAUGUGGUUUAAUUCGAUGAUACGCGAGGAACCUUACCAAGGCUUAAAUGUAGAUUGACCGAUUUGGAAACAGAUCUUUCGCAAGACAAUUUACAAGGUGCUGCAUGGUUGUCGU